ACAGGGGCCGUCCGUCUGGGAGACCUCUGCCGUUCCAGACGCAUUUGUCUCUCGUCCGAAGGACGCUGCAGCCGGUCUGGCAGUGCAAGCGCGACGGCCUGAAGGCCGGGAGAUGGCAGGUGGCCGGUGGCUCGCCCCGUGCGGGUUAUCGGUUGUUAGCCGUCCCGGCAGUGGCUCGUCGCCAGACCGUGGUGUCGCGAGUCCCUUCGGGGACUCCUCGUCUCCACCUCGCGUAGCGGGACAGACCGCGGCAAGGAUCUCUCACGCCUCCGCCGCACACCUUCGGUGUGGGCGGGAACGUGCGGGGCCCCGUUGGCCGCGGCGGGCCCGUCGGGGACCGGAGGCUGGCAGCGAGUAGGUCGGUCACCCACCCGACCCGUCUUGAAACACGGACCAAGGAGUCUAACAUGUGCGCGAGUCAAUGGGUCUUGACUAGGCCCAGGGGCGCAAUGAAAGCGAAGGACGGCCUAGCGUCGUCCGAGUGGGGAUCCGCUCCCCUCGGGGGGCGGCGCACCCGCGACCCGUCCUAUCCGGCUCGCCGGUUGGGCGGAGUCUGAGCGUACACGUUGGGACCCGAAAGAUGGUGAACUAUGCCCGGAC
rnacentral:rRNA from 1 species